rnacentral:rRNA from 1 species
CCUACGGGAGGCAGCAGUGGGGGAUAUUGCACAAUGGGGGGAACCCUGAUGCAGCGACGCCGCGUGGGUGAAGAAGCGCCUCGGCGCGUAAAGCCCUGUCAGCAGGGAAGAAAAUGACGGUACCUGAAGAAGAAGCCCCGGCUAACUACGUGCCAGCAGCCGCGGUAAUACGUAGGGGGCACGCGUUAUCCGGAUUUACUGGGUGUAAAGGGGGCGCAGACGGCGAUGCAAGCCAGGAGUGAAAGCCCGGGGCCCAACCCCGGGACUGCGCUUGGAACUGCGUGGCUGGAGUGCAGGAGGGGCAGGCGGAAUUCCUGGUGUAGCGGUGAAAUGCGUAGAUAUCAGGAGGAACACCGGUGGCGAAGGCGGCCUGCUGGACUGCAACUGACGUUGAGGCCCGAAAGCGUGGGGAGCGAACAGGAUUAGAUACCCCUGUAGUC